CCUACGGGAGGCAGCAGUGGGGAAUUUUGGACAAUGGGGGCAACCCUGAUCCAGCCAUGCCGCGUGAGUGAAGAAGGCCUUCGGGUUGUAAAGCUCUUUCGGCCGGGAAGAAAUCGCACGGGUUAAUACCCUGUGUGGAUGACGGUACCGGCAUAAGAAGCACCGGCUAACUACGUGCCAGCAGCCGCGGUAAUACAGAGGGUGCAAGCGUUAAUCGGAAUUACUGGGCGUAAAGCGUGCGUAGGCGGUUUCGUAAGUCGGAUGUGAAAGCCCCGGGCUCAACCUGGGAAUUGCAUUCGAGACUGCGAAGCUGGAGUGCGGAAGAGGGAAGUGGAAUUUCCGGUGUAGCGGUGAAAUGCGUAGAUAUGUGGAGGAACACCGAUGGCGAAGGCAGCCCCCUGGGCCAAUACUGACGCUCAUGCACGAAAGCGUGGGUAGCAAACAGGAUUAGAUACCCUGGUAGUCCACGCCCUAAACGAUGUCAACUAGGUGUUGGGUGGGUAAAACCAUUUAGUACCGUAGCUAACGCGUGAAGUUGACCGCCUGGGGAGUACGGCCGCAAGGUUAAAACUCAAAGGAAUUGACGG
rnacentral:rRNA from 1 species